UCGACGGCAGCACGGGAGCAAUCCUGGUGGCGAGUGGCGAACGGGUGAGUAAUGUAUCGGAACGUACCUUUCAGUGGGGGAUAACGUAGCGAAAGUUACGCUAAUACCGCAUAUUCUGUGAGCAGGAAAGCAGGGGAUCGCAAGACCUUGCGCUGAUUGAGCGGCCGAUAUCAGAUUAGCUAGUUGGUGAGGUAAAGGCUCACCAAGGCGACGAUCUGUAGCGGGUCUGAGAGGAUGAUCCGCCACACUGGAACUGAGACACGGUCCAGACUCCUACGGGAGGCAGCAGUGGGGAAUUUUGGACAAUGGGGGCAACCCUGAUCCAGCCAUGCCGCGUGAGUGAAGAAGGCCUUCGGGUUGUAAAGCUCUUUCAGCCGGGAAGAAAUCACAUGGGUUAAUACCCUGUGUGGAUGACGGUACCGGAAUAAGAAGCACCGGCUAACUACGUGCCAGCAGCCGCGGUAAUACGUAGGGUGCGAGCGUUAAUCGGAAUUACUGGGCGUAAAGCGUGCGCAGGCGGUUUGUUAAGAUAGGCGUGAAAUCCCCGGGCUCAACCUGGGAACUGCGUUUAUGACUGGCAGGCUAGAGUAUGGCAGAGGGGGGUGGAAUUCCACGUGUAGCAGUGAAAUGCGUAGAGAUGUGGAGGAACACCGAUGGCGAAGGCAGCCCCCUGGGCCAAUACUGACGCUCAUGCACGAAAGCGUGGGUAGCAAACAGGAUUAGAUACCCUGGUAGUCCACGCCCUAAACGAUGUCAACUAGGUGUUGGGUGGGUAAAACCAU
rnacentral:rRNA from 1 species